AAUCCUCAACCCUUCUCCCUUUUUUGGGUGGAAAGGGUUUGGAAUUUGGGGGCUUUUGCUGGCACCCCUUCUUUUGGGAGCCAGCUCCUCUUAAAUGCAUUAGCAGGGUUUCCUUAGCCAGAUCCCCUCGACGUGAUAAAGUUUUUACGUCCCAGGGCUUCUUGGUUCUAACCUGCUUCCAAUCGUCUCAUCUGAGACUAAAACCGAAUCUGA
rnacentral:misc_RNA from 1 species